rnacentral:rRNA from 1 species
UACGUAGGGUGCGAGCGUUGUCCGGAAUUAUUGGGCGUAAAGGGCUCGUAGGCGGUUUGUCGCGUCGAAUGUGAAAACCCGGGGCUCAACCCCGGGCCUGCAUUCGAUACGGGCAGACUAGAGUUCGGUAGGGGAGUCUGGAAUUCCUGGUGUAGCGGUGAAAUGCGCAGAUAUCAGGAGGAACACCGGUGGCGAAGGCGGGACUCUGGGCCGAUACUGACGCUGAGGAGCGAAAGCGUGGGGAGCAAACAGG